rnacentral:rRNA from 1 species
AGAGUUUGAUCAUGGCUCAGGAUGAACGCUAGCUACAGGCUUAACACAUGCAAGUCGAGGGGCAGCAUGAAGAUGUGCUUGCACAACUUUGAUGGCGACCGGCGCACGGGUGAGUAACGCGUAUCCAACCUUCCCUAUAGUAGAGAAUAGCCCGGCGAAAGUCGGAUUAAUGCUCUAUGUUCUUCUUUGAUGGCAUCUGACGAGAAGCAAAGGUUCACCGCUAUAGGAUGGGGAUGCGUCUGAUUAGGUUGUUGGCGGGGUAACGGCCCACCAAGCCUACGAUCAGUAGGGGUUCUGAGAGGAAGGUCCCCCACAUUGGUACUGAGACACGGACCAAACUCCUACGGGAGGCAGCGGUGAGGAAUAUUGGUCAACGGGCGAGAGCCUGAACCAGCCAAGUAGCGUGCAGGAUGACUGCCCUAUGGGUUGUAAACUGCUUUUAUGCGGGAAUAAAGUCCACUACGUGUAGUGGUUUGUAUGUACCGCAUGAAUAAGGACCGGCUAAUUCCGUGCCAGCAGCCGCGGUAAUACGGAAGGUCCGGGCGUUAUCCGGAUUUAUUGGGUUUAAAGGGAGCGCAGGCUGGAUUUUAAGCGUGUUGUGAAAUGCGGCGGCUCAACCGUCGAUGUGCAGCGCGAACUGGAGUCCUUGAGUGAGUACGAGGAAGGCGGAAUUCGUGGUGUAGCGGUGAAAUGCUUAGAUAUUACUCAGAACACCGAUUGCGAAGGCAUCUCACGAAUCCGACAUUGACGCUGAGGCACGAAAGCGUGGGGAUCAAACAGGAUUAGAUACCCUGGUAGUCCACGCAGUAAACGAUGAUGACUAACCGUCGGCGAUAGACAGUCGGUGGCCAAGCGAAAGCGAUAAGUCAUCCACCUGGGGAGUACGACCGCAAGGUUGAAACUCAAAGGAAUCGACGGGGGCCCGCACAAGCGGAGGAACAUGUGGUUUAAUUCGAUGAUACGCGAGGAACCUUACCCGGGCUCGAACGGUGCAGGAAGGAUCAAGAGAUUGUGACGCCCUUCGGGGCCUGCAUCGAGGUGCUGCAUGGUUGUCGUCAGCUCGUGUCGUGAGAUGUUGGCUCAAGUGCCAUAACGAGCGCAACCCUUGCCGCCAGUUGCCAUCAAGUAAUGUUGGGGACUCUGGCGGGACUGCCACCGCAAGGUGUGAGGAGGGGGGGGAUGACGUCAAAUCAGCACGGCCCUUACGUCCGGGGCGACACACGUGUUACAAUGGCGGCCACAGAGGGAGGCUACCCCGCGAGGGGAUGCGGAUCUCGAAAAGCCGUCCCAGUUCGGAUCGCAGUCUGCAACCCGACUGCGUGAAGUUGGAUUCGCUAGUAAUCGCGCAUCAGCCAUGGCGCGGUGAAUACGUUCCCGGGCCUUGUACACACCGCCCGUCAAGCCAUGGAAGCCGCGGGCGCCUGAAGUCCGUGACCGAGAGGAGCGGCCUAGGGCGAAAGUGGUAACUGGGGCUAAGUCGUAACAAGGUAGCCGUACCGGAAGGUGUGGCUGGAACACCUCCUU